GAAAAUGUUUCUUUGACACCAAGAUUUGACACAAAUUUGACACCGUCCAGGUGUCAAAUUGCUAUUGGGUGAUGUUUUAUUUACUGAAACAGUUUUUUUAAUAAAGUGGCAGGGGCAGAACUGGAAUAAUGGAGUGUUUGAAUAUCAUUUUGGAAUUGGCGGUUUCAUUUUCGUUUCACUCUUGCUUGAGAACAGUUUCGAACACUUUCGCCUUCUCUCCAACGUCUUCGUUCUUCGUCCACCACCAUCUCCAUUGCUGCGUUCUCUCUUCGUUCUUCGUCCACCACCAUCUCCAUUGCUGCGUUCUCUCUUCGUUCUUUGUCCACCAC
rnacentral:lncRNA from 1 species